CAUUGGUUUGAUGAAUGUUAUAUUCUUUGACAAUUUAAUUCCGUGUAUAUUUUACAGAGAAAAAAGCGACAGACAAGAAUAAUGACGAUCUCACCAAGUGUAAAGUCUAUCAGAUUCAAACAAAGGGUUUUAAGGAAAGACGUGAGGAGGUAUCACUCAAACUAGCCUACAUAUAAAAGCGCUGUUAAAAUACAAUUGAAAACUACGAUUUCGUGUUUAUGUUUUAAUUUUACGUAAUAAUAACCCAAAAGAAACGCAAAAACAAUGUUAAAAGUAAUACAUGUUUCUUUUUAUCCUAAACAUAUCAAAGUGUCUUAAAUCUUCGAGAAAUAGUGACGAAAGCUGAACGGAAGUUUGGGCCGAACUGUUCCUAAUGACACCGUGUAAUUUGGUUUAAUUUGUUAAAAGUAUUAAAAACAAAUGGCCACGUUAGACAGUGUUAUCCAUACGCAAUUUCGAGUAAAAUGAGAUGUUUCUAUUGUUAGAAGAGUUUUUAUAGCCAAACUAUGGCGGCCAUGUUUGUCCAUGGAUCAAAACUUUGGAUACAAUUUAUAAACAAGAUACACUACGGAACAUUUAGGUAAAGUUUGAAAG